CAGUCGCCGCGGUAAUACGGAGGGUGCAAGCGUUAUCCGGAUUUAUUGGGUUUAAAGGGUCCGUAGGCGGAUCUGUAAGUCAGUGGUGAAAUCUCACAGCUUAACUGUGAAACUGCCAUUGAUACUGCAGGUCUUGAGUAAAUUUGAAGUGGCUGGAAUAAGUAGUGUAGCGGUGAAAUGCAUAGAUAUUACUUAGAACACCAAUUGCGAAGGCAGGUCACUAAGAUUUAACUGACGCUGAUGGACGAAAGCGUGGGGAGCAAACAGGAUUAGAUACCCCCGUAGUCCCUGUCUCUUAUAC
rnacentral:rRNA from 1 species